ensembl:lncRNA
CUUCUAACGAAAUGCUUCCGUGUCAUCAAAACUAAUUAAUGUGCCUCUGAGAGCUAGAUGCUCAGUUUUCUGGAUGAAUGCAUUAUUUAUUUAAACACACAAUUGGUAAAUAUAAUACAAAAACACUGCAAAGUCACUUUGGAUAAAAGUGCAGAUGAAAUGCAUGCUGUGACAGUCGAGGGUACAGCUGGUCUGUGGCUGAGAGCCAGAAACGUGUGUUUGCAAGAUGUUACAGUAGAUUUACUCAGUUGUUCCUUGCAUCAGCUGUUUACUCGCAGCCUGCAGUUACAUCACGAAACUUUUUCUUUUCUUCAGCCAAUAAAAGACAAGCUGUGUUUGUUGGCCCAAAAGACCCGCCACAGUUGGUUGUGUCCGAGCGUCGCAGCUCUGUCCCGCGGGAGAGACACUGAACUAAAGACUGCUCGAAGACGGACUCUGGCACAGAUAUCGUGAGGAUGGAAGCAGGACGCCUCUGUGUUGAGCGAGCAGUGGCUCAUUUCAUCAUCAUGUCAAACACCUCGGCUCUGAGCCUGAACUCCAGCGUCUCUGGGUGGCGUCGUCCGCUGUGGUACCAGUAUGAAGUGUGUGCGGAAGCUUCUCAUUGGUUCAUCUUCUACUUUGGAGUGAAAGUAUUGAACAUGGUUGCAGGAUUCCCAAUGAACGCCCUCGUGUUGUGGCAGAUUCUGAGGAAGAAGAGCAAAGGCUCGACGUCAGACAUCUUCAUUUUUAACCUUUCCAUCCUCGACGCCUAUUUCGGCGUCAUGAGCGUUAACGAGGUCUACAGCGGAGUCAUCCUCUCGGCCUUCUUCAUCAUGGUGUUCUGCAACCUCUCCAUCAUCUGGGUCAGGAAGAGCGUCGCAGGGAAAGAAGUCAUGAACCCGGUGAAGAAGAAGGCCUUUAAAAUGGUGCUUAUCGUCCUGGCCAUCAUCGUUGGGAGCUAUCUGCCUCCUGUGGCUCUGCUGCCGUUUGCUUCCACCUUCUCGUUCAUGAAGCUACAUUGUAAGGUUCUUCUCGGCGUCUUCUCCAUCAUGGACCUGAGCUGCACCAUCGAGCCUUCGCUCUACAUCUCUAAGAUGGAGCGCUCCACGUUCUGUCAAUGCCUGCAGAGUCCCUCCAAGAAACCCAUCAGCGUGAGCGUCUGAAAUUAAAAACUGUCUGAUUUUGUGUGUGUGAUUGUAGACCUUUGGGUUGUCAUUGUAUCUUUCUGUGGUUCUCAACUGGCGUGUCUCAGGUCUGUCAUGAUUGGUCACUGAAAGAGGGAAAACACAAUGUUAAGUGCAAAAAAGUAAACAAAACAAAAAAAUUUAACAGUAAAAUACUCAUCAACCAAAUAAAGAAAAGAGAAAACACCUACCAUAUGCAUAGCUACUGAUGAUGUCAAAGGUUGUGUGUCCAUCAAACUCUACAAUAUUCAUCCUACAACAGUAAGAUUUCUCUUUAUAGGGGUAAAAGUCAAACUAGACAUAUGGAUCAACUUGGACGGGGUGUGUGACGCUCUGAUCCUCAAACCAUGAACAAAACUACACACUCAAAAAAUGCAUAACGUUCGCUCACUCUGAACUGUCUGCUGCAUAGAAACACUUCAAUUUGGUUAAAGUCAUGUAAAUAAUUUUUCAUCUUACUGAGCCUUUGCAGGGUCUACUUAUUACAAUAUUAAUACAUUUCAAUGUUUAAUAUGUCAAUUGUAGCGCCGUGUUGCAUGAUGCUGGGUUUAUGGUUGGAGUACUGCUCUUAUUUGAAAUGCUGAUUUGAUCAAAACCAGUAGAGAAGCACUGAUUUAACGAAGCGCUCGUCAUCAGCAUGUUGACUUCAUGAAACUGUGCCGGUUGUUGUGUUUUCUGUGUCGUGUUUCCCCAGACGUCUCCUGUUUGCCUGUUUCUCCGCUGCUCGUUUAACUCCUCGUGACUCUCUUCUGAUUGAUCUUCAGACUCCGGGAACAAAUCUGAACUUCACUUUCUUCUCAUUGUUGUGUUUGUGUCAGAUAACCUGCUUCUUUUACUUCUCACAGGUUAGAUACCAGCUUUCCAGAUGCAUAAUUAAGAACAUUAACGAGUCACUAAUUAAGACAUUAAUUAAAAUGCCUGGGGAUUAAUUAAGAACGGACUGAGGUGGCGCAGAUGGUAGAUGUAGAUGAUGCUACGAGAUUAAUUAACACGAAAAACAUUUACAGUAGAAGCUCAUGUAAGCUUGUGUUGUCAUUGAUCUCGGACUGCUAGAGAUGGUUUAAUAACCCGAGCAUAAUAGACAAGAAAUAUGAACAGUUGCUGUAUUUUCUGAUGCAUAAAGGAACUCCAAAAAUGAUAUACUUGUCUGUGUUCACUUAUUCUUCCAUUCUGAAUUAUAGCAG